UACGGGGGGAGCAAGCGUUGUUCGGAUUUACUGGGCGUAAAGGGCGCGUAGGCAGCCACCGCAAGUCGACUGUGAAAUCUCCGGGCUUAACCCGGAAAGGUCAGCCGAUACUGCGGGGCUAGAGUGCAGAAGGGGCAACUGGAAUUCUCGGUGUAGCGGUGAAAUGCGUAGAUAUCGAGAGGAACACCUGCGGCGAAGGCGGGUUGCUGGGCUGACACUGACGCUGAAGCGCGAAAGCUAGGGGAGCGAACGGG
rnacentral:rRNA from 1 species